CUACAAUGGCGUAACAAAGGGAAGCGAACCCGUGAGGGGGAGCAAAUCCCAAAAAUAACGUCCCAGUUCGGACUGUAGUCUGCAACCCGACUACACGAAGCUGGAAUCGCUAGUAAUCGCGAAUCAGAAUGUCGCGGUGAAUACGUUCCCGGGUCUUGUACACACCGCCCGUCACACCAUGGGAGUCGGGAAUGCCCGAAGUCAGUGACCCAACCUUUGGAGGGAGCUGCCGAAGGCAGGUCUGAUAACUGGGGUGAAGUCGUAACAAGGUACC
rnacentral:rRNA from 1 species